rnacentral:rRNA from 1 species
UACGGAGGGUGCAAGCGUUAUCCGGAAUCACUGGGUUUAAAGGGUGCGUAGGCGGCCUGGUAAGUCAGGGGUGAAAGCUUCCCGCUCAACGGGAGAACUGCCCUUGAUACUGCCAGGCUCGAAUUGGGUUGAGGCCGGCGGAAUGUGGCAUGUAGCGGUGAAAUGCUUAGAUAUGCCAUAGAACACCGAUUGCGAAGGCAGCCGGCCAAGCCUUGAUUGACGCUGAGGCACGAAAGCGUGGGGAGCGAACAGG